GGAAGGCCGGGGUCGGAAGUGGAACGAACUCCCAGAUGCCUUGACACACAUGCAGAUUCCGGCGGGUCCAGAGAAGACCAGUAACACAAGAGAGGAAGGGCUGAAGGAUUCUGUCACUCCUGUAUUGUUACAAGUUUAAGGAAUAAUACAUGGACAUGUCCUUAUUGCCGGGCUUAUC